rnacentral:rRNA from 1 species
AAAUUUGAGCAAUGGAUCACUCUGCUCACAGGUUGAUGAAAAAUGCAGCCAGCUGCAAGACUUAACAUUAAUUGCAAGGUUCAAACUUUAAACAGAUUACACUGUUUGAUAUGACAAUUUAAAGUCA